rnacentral:rRNA from 1 species
UUUGGUGGCGAUAGCGAAGAGGUCACACCCGUUCCCAUGUCGAACACGGAAGUUAAGCUCUUCAGCGCCGAUGGUAGUCGGGGGGUUCCCCCUGUGAGAGUAGGACGCCGCCAAGC